rnacentral:rRNA from 1 species
UACGUAGGUGGCAAGCGUUGUCCGGAUUUACUGGGCGUAAAGAGCGCGCAGGCGUCGUCCAAGUCGCGUGUGAAAGCCCCCGGCUCAACUGGGGAGGGUCACGCGAUACUGGUCGACUCGAAGGCAGGAGAGGGAAGUGGAAUUCCCGGUGUAGUGGUGAAUGCGUAGAUAUCGGGAGGAACACCAGUGGCGAAGGCGACUUCCUGGCCUGUUCUUGACGCUGAGGCGCGAAAGCUAGGGUAGCAAACGGG